GAAAGAUCUCCCAUGCUCAUGGAUUGGCAGGAUUAAUUUAGUAAAAAUGGCCAUUUUACCAAAAGCAAUCUACAGAUUCAAUGCAAUCCCCAUCAAAAUACCAAUCCAAUUCUUCAAAGAGUUAGACAGAACAAUUUGCAAAUUUAUCUGGAAUAACAAAAAACCCAGGAUAGCUAAAGCUAUCCUCAACAAUAAAAGGACUUCAGGGGGAAUCACUAUCCCUGAACUCAAGCAGUAUUACAGAGCAAUAGUCAUAAAAACUGCAUGGUAUUGGUACAGAGACAGACAGAUAGACCAAUGGAAUAGAAUUGAAGACCCAGAAAUG
rnacentral:lncRNA from 1 species